rnacentral:rRNA from 1 species
UACAGAGGUCCCAAGCGUUGUUCGGAUUCACUGGGCGUAAAGGGUGCGUAGGCGGUCGGGUAAGUCUGACGUGAAAUCUCCGGGCCUAACCCGGAAACUGCGUUGGAAACUGCCUGGCUAGAGGAAUGGAGGGGAGACUGGAAUACUUGGUGUAGCGGUGAAAUGCGCAGAUAUCAGGAGGAACACCGGUGGCGAAGGCGGUUCUCUGGGCAUGUCCUGACGCUGAGGAGCGAAAGUGUGGGGAGCGAACAGG